rnacentral:rRNA from 1 species
UACGGAGGGGGCCAGCGUUGUUCGGAAUCAUUGGGCGUAAAGGGCGCGUAGGCGGCUUUGUAAGUCCGUUGUGAAAUCCCUCGGCUCAACCGAGGAACUGCGACGGAUACUGCUUGGCUUGAGUCCCGGAGAGGGUAGCGGAAUUCCAGGUGUAGCGGUGAAAUGCGUAGAUAUCUGGAGGAACACCGGUGGCGAAGGCGGCAUCCUGGACCGGCAUUGACGCUGAGGCGCGAAAGCCAGGGGAGCAAAGCGGG